CCUACGGGUGGCUGCAGUGAGGAAUAUUGGUCAAUGGACGAGAGUCUGAACCAGCCAAGUCGCGUGAAGGAUGACUGCCCUAUGGGUUGUAAACUUCUUUUAUAUGGGAGUAAAACAGGGUCUGCAUACUCUCUUGUAUGUACCAUAUGAAUAAGGAUCGGUCAACUCCGUGCAAGGAGCCGCGGUAAUACGGAGGGGCCGAGCGGUAACCGGAUUUAUUGGGUUUAAGGGGGGCGUAGGUGGGUUGUUAAGUCAGGUGUGAAAGUUUGAGGGUCAACCCUAAAAUAGCAGUUGAAACUGGCAGUCUAGAGUACACGAGAGGUAGGCGGAAUUCGUGGUGUAGCGGUGAAAUGCUUAGAUAUCACGAAGAACACCGAUUGCGAAGGCAGCUCACUGG
rnacentral:rRNA from 1 species